GAUGAACGCUGGCGGCGUGCCUAAUACAUGCAAGUCGAGCGGACAGACGAUGAGCUUGCGCCUCUGCCGUUAGCGGCGGACGGGCGAGUAACACGUGGAUAACCUUCCUAUAUUACUGGGAUGAUUUCGGAAAGCCGGAUCUAAUACCAGCUAAUAUAUUGAACCGCUGUGUUCAAUGGUGAAUGACGGUUUUGCCGUCUGUAUUAGCUGGUGUCGUGCCGGAUUGGCUAGUUGGUAGGGUAACGGCUUGCCAAGGCUACGAUGCGUGGCCGACCGGAGAGGGUGAUCGGCCACACUGGAACGGAGACACGGUCCAGACUCCUGCGGGAGGCAGCAGUGGGGAAUGUUGGACAAUGGGCGAAAGCCUGACGCAGCCAUGCCGCGUGAGUGACGAAGGCCUUCGGGUCGUAAAGCCCUCUUAUUGGGGAAGAACAGCUGUGUCCUGAGACAUGGCCGUAUUGACGGUACCUAAUAAAAAAGCACCGGCUAACUACGUG
rnacentral:rRNA from 1 species